AGAGUUUGAUCCUGGCUCAGGACGAACGCUGGCGGCGUGCUUAACACAUGCAAGUCGAACGGAAAGGCCCUUCGGGGUACUCGAGUGGCGAACGGGUGAGUAACACGUGGGUGAUCUGCCCUGCACUUUGGGAUAAGCCUGGGAAACUGGGUCUAAUACCGAAUAUGACCAUGCACUUCCUGGUGUGUGGUGGAAAGCUUUUGCGGUGUGGGAUGGGCCCGCGGCCUAUCAGCUUGUUGGUGGGGUAAUGGCCUACCAAGGCGACGACGGGUAGCCGGCCUGAGAGGGUGACCGGCCACACUGGGACUGAGAUACGGCCCAGACUCCUACGGGAGGCAGCAGUGGGGAAUAUUGCACAAUGGGCGCAAGCCUGAUGCAGCGACGCCGCGUGAGGGAUGACGGCCUUCGGGUUGUAAACCUCUUUCAGCACAGACGAAGCGCAAGUGACGGUAUGUGCAGAAGAAGGACCGGCCAACUACGUGCCAGCAGCCGCGGUAAUACGUAGGGUCCGAGCGUUGUCCGGAAUUACUGGGCGUAAAGAGCUCGUAGGUGGUUUGUCGCGUUGUUCGUGAAAACUCACAGCUUAACUGUGGGCGUGCGGGCGAUACGGGCAGACUUGAGUACUGCAGGGGAGACUGGAAUUCCUGGUGUAGCGGUGGAAUGCGCAGAUAUCAGGAGGAACACCGGUGGCGAAGGCGGGUCUCUGGGCAGUAACUGACGCUGAAGAGCGAAAGCGUGGGGAGCGAACAGGAUUAGAUACCCUGGUAGUCCAA
rnacentral:rRNA from 1 species